CCUACGGUGCGCUGCAGUGAGGAAUAUUGGUCAAUGGACGCAAGUCUGAACCAGCCAUGCCGCGUGCAUGAAGACGGCUCUAUGAGUUGUAAACUGCUUUUGUACGAGGGUAAACGCAGAUACGCGUAUCUGUCUGAAAGUAUCGUACGAAUAAGGAUCGGCUAACUCCGUGCCAGCAGCCGCGGUAAUACGGAGGAUUCAAGCUUUAUCCGGAUUUAUUGGGUUUAAAGGGUGCGUAGGCGGUCGGAUAAGUUAGAGGUGAAAUCCCGAGGCUCAACUUCGGAAUUGCCUCUGAUACUGUUCGGCUAGAGAGUAGUUGCGGUAGGCGGAAUGUAUGGUGUAGCGGUGAAAUGCUUAGAGAUCAUACAGAACACCGAUUGCGAAGGCAGCUUACCAAGCUACUUCUGACGUUGAGGCACGAAAGCGUGGGGAGCAAACAGGAUUAGAUACCCGGGUAGUC
rnacentral:rRNA from 1 species